rnacentral:misc_RNA from 1 species
UUGUUAUGUUACUAUAAUUGACAUUCAUACACAGAGUUUGAAGGCCGAGGCCGACGGUUCACAGUGCGUGUGGUUUGAACGGCUUGCGCCGCAUCUCUAAUGAUCCUUCCGCAGGUUCACCUACGGAAA